UACGGGGGGGGCAAGCGUUGUUCGGAAUUACUGGGCGUAAAGGGCGCGUAGGCGGUUCGCUAAGUUGGAUGUGAAAACUCUGGGCUCAACCCAGAGCCUGCAUCCAAAACUGGCGGGCUAGAGUUCGGGAGGGGGUAGCGGAAUUCCUGGUGUAGCGGUGAAAUGCGUAGAUAUCAGGAGGAACACCGGUGGCGAAGGCGGCUACCUGGACAGAAACUGACGCUGAGGCGCGAAAGCUAGGGGAGCAAACAGG
rnacentral:rRNA from 1 species